rnacentral:rRNA from 1 species
GCGACCCCAGGUCAGGCGGGGCUACCCGCUGAAUUUAAGCAUAUCAAUAA